GAAAAAACUAUUUGUUUGUCUUGUCUAAUUUAAUUUACGUUAUUUAUCAAACAGACAGGUUAUUUGGGAAGCCAGAUGGACCCAGGCUAAAAUCAUCUGUAUUUCCAACGCGUGAAAAAUGAUGUCAGAGUGGACACCUGAAGAGAGGCGCGCUGUGUGUGGUGGGUGCUCAGCACACAAACUGAACCUCAGCUGCCCCGGAUCCCCCAUCAGCUGUCCCAGAGCCAAUCACAGUUUAUGGCCAACUCCAGCACUGCUCCUCCACGCAGCAGAAACCUGAACCGGCUGUAAUGAAAGAAAACGAUGUUGGGGAUCGAUCGCAAGAGAUUCGCUUCAUUUUUAAGCUCGUGUUUCUGCCCUGCUCCUCAAGGCUGCUUUCAUACAACCCUCCUCCGCUGCUCCCCCUGCGGUGUCCCAUUGAUCACCAAUAGCUGCUGCUGCUCCUGCAGGCGCUGAUGGAGGAGCAGCCCCAGAUGCCCCCGGAGGGCGAUGUCCUCCUGCCCCAAAUCCGCAGUGCCCGAGGAGGGGCUGGGAGCCCUCUGGGCUAUUCCAGGUGGUAAUUAAUGAGGGGGGGCCCCCAAGGGAGGUUCCCUGGUGCCCGCAGCCCUGCUGUGCCCCCAAUUUCCAGCCCCCCCGGUCAGCUGUGACAGGUUUCUGUGCAGAAAGUGUAAUGAACGGCUGAGGCGCUCAAGAUAUUAAUAGGUGGUAUUUCCACGUUCCUAUUUUACAUUAAGCCCGAAGGAGGGCUCUGAACACCCCCCGACCCUUCGCAAUUAAAUAUCAGCUUAGAAAAGCACUUUUCCCUUCCUUCCUUCGCUCCCACUGCCCGGCCCAACGCUGUGGGGUGCUGCCCAGCUGCAGGAUGCUCGGGGGCUGGGGGGGCACAUUGGAUGCUCGGGGUCCCACACCCCCAUUCCCUGGGCAGGCACAGAGCAGGCGCUGCUUUGGCACUCCCCCACACCCCCCCUCCCCUUCCCCGGGUCGCUAUGAAUAAAUCAUUGUUUUAUUA
ensembl:lncRNA